rnacentral:misc_RNA from 1 species
UUUGACUAAUCUAAGACAAAGAAUAAGGAAAUUUACAUACAUAUUUACUAUAUAUGUAUAUAAUAUAUUAUUUAUAUAUAUGAAAAAAAUCCCUAUGCAUUUAAUCGAAUUCGAACGCGCCGAAAUCCGAUCCCUAAAAUCCAUUUUCACCGGGGGCCUUCUAGGCCUCAAUUCAAAUAGUGCGUUUUUGCGUCACGUGACGCUUAAUUAGCCAAUCGUAUUGUAUAACGAUAUCACGUGACCUGACCCUGAGUCUCUUAACAGUUUUGUUUUAAAGCGUCGAAAAUCCAGAUCUGUUGGUAAAAAUAUCGAGGUUGGCGUAGCCGUAUACUUUUUCCAAUAAGCGGUCUUGAAAUCGUAGACGCUUUUCUAAAUAGAGUAAUUCGAUCUCCGGCGUCAGCGGGCGUCGUCUUCAUUGAUUUUUUUCCCAGUUUGUUUCAGAUAGUGUAUCUAUUUAUUUAUUAAAUCCUUUAAUCCUUUCAAAUAAUUCUAGAAGAAAACAAAUUAAGAUAUAAGUAUUCUCUAGUACGAACACAAUCCCGAAACUAGAGCAGAGGUGACAAAUUAAUUUAUCAUGAAAGUGAACUUUUUUCAGUUUACGAAGACACCAUGCUAACAAAACAAAGGGAUGAACUGUUCAAUAGCUGCAAUAUAUAUUUAAUCGAUUCUUCCAAUCUACUAAAAAUUCAUUUAAUACCUAUAUUAUUUUAUUACUUUCCUUUCAACAUUUCCGUUUCCUCCUUUCCAAAUUAUUUUCCGGUUGAAUAUUGUAUAAAGAAUUUACUUCAGAAAGAAAAUGCUUGCAACUUUUGCUACUAUCUCAAUUCUAUUAUUCUCUUUUUCUAUCCAUCUUUUUCUGGAAUAAAUCCCUGGCACGUAUAUACGAAUAUAUAUGUAUAUACAGUAUAUACUGUACCUGCAAUCGCUCUUUCUCUCUCUCUCUCUCUCGGUCUCAUUACUAUCUCAUUUCUCUUCGUCCUUAUUUUAAUGUAUGAUAGCUUAUUUGCUCUGUUAUUCCAUUCAGAUAAGUCAGCUAGCUACUAAAUUUCAUUUGCUAUUAAAGAAUCAUUUUCCUAGUAAACUCUUUCCUUACAUUGUCAACAAAAGUUAGGUCAUUCUUGUUUUUACUUGUUUGGGCUUUAAAAAAGAGGCAGGAAUAAAACAGAAUCUUUAGGCGAUAACGAGAAUUUUCUCUUAUUCAGGUCGAACACGUAAGAAUUCAGAUGAUGACCGCGUUAGGCGAACGAAAAGUUGUGAUUGGUGCCAUAGAGCCAAAUCGGCCCAUUGCAAAGUUGAUUUAUGUGAUGGACAAUUGCAAUUUUGCUCUGAAUCUUGCCUAAAUCAAUAUAAAAUGAACAUAUUUUGUCGUGAAACAGAAGAACAUUUAAAUUCGGCCAAAGAGGAUAAAGCUGAACCGCAAAAGGACGAUAGAAUUAUUAUUACUCCGGAAUUAUGGAAUAGAACCGCUUCAAAUGCAAAAGGUUCGUCACGAAAGAGAGAAGCAAGUUCAGAAAGGAAUAGUAAAGUUCUAGCCGAGAAACGUGCCAGACUGACCGAUCGAGAAUAUAUAAGAAGACUAAAGAUGCGUGAUCAAGAUAUGCAUACACCACUUCCGACUAUUAAGCCGAAAGAAGGACAAAAACAAGAAAUUAGGACCCUCCCUGUUCUACCAGCACCUCCACCUCUUCCACUUCCACUUCCUCCCCCACCUCCUAUUAUACCAGCGAGUACACUACUUGUACCUAUGCCAUUUCUCUUCCCGAUUCCAGUUCCAAUACCUAUACCUAUACCGUCGGAAGCCUUCAAAAAUCUAAUUGAAAAACAUACAGAGCGGCGUAAAUCAGUUUCAACAACUUCGGAAGGAUCAGAGAAAAUAAGAUGCGCAUGCUGCGAACCUGAAGAAGAAGUUCGAGAAACACCAGAGGGCGUCAUAGAUCUAAGUAAACGAUCAAAUACAAAUUCCGUUUCCGAUCAAGACCAUCGAGUUUAUUCAGCAAGGAGAGCAAUGAUUUUAGAUGCUCCUCAAGAAAGAAGAAACGAUUUAGAUGGAUCGAGCUCGAAUAAGGGAACACCUAUUAAAUGAUAACUGUGCAAAUUCUUUUUUCGACAGUUUUGCGGUUUAUAGUGUUGUUCGUUGCUGUUGUGCUGCAAAAUUAUUGUGCCAUAUUGCAGUUAAACGUAUAUUACGUAAUGUAACAUAAAAAAGAGCAAACAUUGUAUCUAUACCUAUACAAAAGUACACCUAUAUAUGAAUUUUACGUAUUCAUAAAUAGAGACAUAAAAUAUGAUAGAUAAUGAAUGAAAUAAAUUAUAUUAAUAUGCAUUCACGCAGACAAACUGCAAACAAACAAACAACAACACAUGCAUACUUACAAACUUACUUACAUACAAACAUACGUAUUUUAUAUACUUGUACGAAUAAUGAAAAACACCAAAAAACUCUUGUAAAAGCAUGUAACAUACGUAUAAUUUUUUGGCCCUAGCAGAGUUAACAAUAUAAAAAA